rnacentral:rRNA from 1 species
AUUGAACGCUGGCGGCAUGCUUUACACAUGCAAGUCGAACGGUAACAGGCCGCAAGGUGCUGACGAGUGGCGAACGGGUGAGUAAUGCAUCGGAACGUGCCCAGUCGUGGGGGAUAACGCAGCGAAAGCUGCGCUAAUACCGCAUACGAUCUAUGGAUGAAAGCGGGGGACCGUAAGGCCUCGCGCGAUUGGAGCGGCCGAUGUCAGAUUUGGUAGUUGGUGGGGUAAAGGCUCACCAAGCCAACGAUCUGUAGCUGGUCUGAGAGGACGACCAGCCACACGGGGACGGGGACACGGCCCAGACUCCUACGGGAGGCAGCAGUGGGGAAUUCUGGACAAUGGGCGCAAGCCUGAUCCAGCAAUGCCGCGUGCAGGAAGAAGGCCUUCGGGUUGUAAACUGCUUUUGUACGGAACGAAACGGCUCUCACUAAUACUGGGGGCUAAUGACGGUACCGUAAGAAUAAGCACCGGCUAACUACGUGCCAGCAGCCGCCGCAGUAA